AUUGAACGCUGGCGGUAUGCCUUACACAUGCAAGUCGAACGGUAGAGGGGCAACCCCUGAGAGUGGCGAACGGGUGAGUAAUACAUCGGAACGUGCCCAGUCGUGGGGGAUAACGUAGCGAAAGCUACGCUAAUACCGCAUACGACCUGAGGGUGAAAGCGGGGGAUCGCAAGACCUCGCGCGAUUGGAGCGGCAGAUGGCAGGUUAGGUAGUUGGUGGGGUAAAGGCCUACCAAGCCUGCGAUCUGUAGCUGGUCUGAGAGGACGACCAGCCACACUGGGACUGAGACACGGCCCAGACUCCUACGGGAGGCAGCAGUGGGGAAUUUUGGACAAUGGGCGAAAGCCUGAUCCAGCCAUACCGCGUGCGGGAAGAAGGCCUUCGGGUUGUAAACCGCUUUUGUCAGGGAAGAAAUCUUCUGGGUUAAUACCUCGGGAGGAUGACGGUACCUGAAGAAUAAGCACCGGCUAACUACGUGCCAGCCGCCGCCGUAAUAC
rnacentral:rRNA from 1 species